AUUGAUUCUAACUUAUAAGAGGGACUGAAAUUAUCCAAUAAAAUAAUUGUCAAAACACAAACAUUUUCUAAUGUAUUCUCUAACUCUGAGAAAAGAGACUGGCAUAAUAUCCAGAACAUCAGUGUAUAUAUGAUACUUUUCUGAAUGAUAAAGUGUAAAAAUGUACUAACAUGUACAUUUUUGAGUACAGUAUUUACAUAAUACUGAAUGAGUUGUGUAUAUUUUUCAGAUGAAAAAGACAGCUGUUUAUAUUUUUCAGACAAAAUAAACAUGUUGAGUUAGAAG
rnacentral:lncRNA from 1 species